rnacentral:lncRNA from 1 species
AUCAAGACAAAUAGAUGCUUAGUCAUGCAGAUGAUUUAAUUGGAAAAACUCUUGAUUAUCCGAAGAAUGAAAGUUACAACACAAUUAGUUUGAGAAGUAUGAUAGUAUCCACACCUGUGAGUAUUAAGCGUCAUAUGAGGAAGUUGAGAAAGAGGAAAAAGAGGGUGAAGAAAAAAAAUGAAAAAGUGAAGAUAAAAAAAUAGAAAAUGGAGUGAAUAUUACUCA